GGUAGUUUAGCUCAGUAGGUAGAGCAGCGGAAUCAUAAUCCGUAGGUCGGUGGUUCGAGUCCACCAAUUACCA
rnacentral:tRNA from 1 species